UCCUAUAUUCUAAAUUGCGAUAGAAUUCCAACUCCUUUGCAUCUUCGUCUGUUAGAGCAUACUGAAACGAAGAAAUGUAUAGAAUUAUUAUAUUGGCGUUGUCCUUGAACGUGGCGAUGGCACUUGUCCAUCCAGUUUGUAAAUUUGUAUGCACUCCUGCGAUACUAAAAUCAUGCCCUGUUUUGGAUUGCAGACCAAACGAAUCACCGCAGCAUAAUCCUGAAAGGUGCAAUUGCUGCAAGGAAUGCUUGCCCAAUAAAAAACCAGAUGAUUGCAAUAUUGAUUGUUCAAAGAGACACAAUUGUCCAUUUAUACCAGAAGAAUGUCCAGAUGGUGAGGAAUUGGUAACACCAAAAUGUAGUUGUUGUCAAAGUUGCCAGAAAAUUAAAGACUCAGACAUGUGCGAAGAUUCUGAUUCAGAUGAAGAUUAAUAAUAUGACUUGGAUAUUUAUAUGAAAUGUUACCUAUGGUUUCUUCAAAAUUCAAGAAUUUAUUGU
rnacentral:misc_RNA from 1 species